GAAGCAACACACAGUUAUAUUUUCAUGACUUAUUGACGGCUUCUCACGUAUGUUUUCUUUAAUAAUUCUCAAUGAUGUGUUUCACUGCAGGCCAUUUUAUUUGCUAAAUAUAUAUUUCUUUUUUUGGUGAAUAAAUUUCGGUUGAGAGGCCAAGUUAUUUUUCUUCUCCUUCAAACAAUUUUAAUUAUAGAAUCAGUUGGAAAAACAAGACCAAAAUUUCUGUCAGUUUUUCAUCUAUAUUGUAAAUAAAAUCAUUUUCCUCAUUGAUUUAUUCAAAUGCUACAGCAGCAUUUCACCUGAAACAGAACUGCAAAAUAACAGAACACUCAUUGGUUGUAUAGUGAUCCCACCAUUUACUUUGAAUCAUGGCAGUUGCUCUCCCUUCUAUAAAAGUACGAGACAAAAUGCAGAUGUUCUUAUUUAUUUUCCUUUUGGCUGCAGCUUGUUUUAAGACCAAUGCUAAAAUGAGUAACUACCGUCGAGUGUGCUUUAUAACAAGCUGGUCUCAGUAUGUAACUGGGGCAGGGAAGUUUAUGCCAGAAAAUGUGGAUGCCACGCUUUGUACACACAUCAAUUAUGCAUUUGCUAAAAUCUCAGGAAACCAAAUUCAUUUUGCUGACUGGAAUGAUGUACCUAGAGAGCAUAGCAUAGGACGCUACAAGGAAACUGUGCAGUUAAAACAUCAAAACAGCCAACUGAAAAUUUUACUUUCUGUUGGUGGAUGGAGCCUGGAAAGUCUUCCAUUUUCUGAUAUGGUCUCCACAAGAAUCAAUCGGAAAGAGUUCAUACAGAGCACAAUCAGUUUCUUAAAGCAGCAUGGAUUUGAUGGAUUAGACCUGGAUUGGGAAUAUCCAGGAUUUAGAGGAGGCAGAAGUGAGGAUAAAUUUAAGUUUACCCUACUUCUAAAGGAAUUAAAUGAAGCUUUUGUUGACGAUUCAAAGAGAACUGGGCAUGAUCAAUUACUUUUGACCAUAACAGUGGCAGCUGGACAGAAACAUAUAACCAACGGAUACGAAGUGGCCAAGAUAGCUAAUAUUGUGGAUUUCAUCAACAUCAUGACAUAUGACUUCCAUGGAGCCUGGCAAAACAAAACUAGCCACCACUCACCCUUAUAUGCACGCCCAGAUGAAAUAGGUGAUGAACGGAAAUCAAAUUUGGCUUGGGCAUCUAAAUAUUGGGUGAAGCUUGGAUGUCCAAGUCACAAACUUAAUAUUGGACUUGCACUGUAUGGAAGAGGUUACCGAUUAAAGAAUCCACUGGAUUCAAGAGCUGGCGCAAUGGCAGACGGUCCAAGUACUGCGAGGAGGUUUAGCACUGAAAACGGCUUUAUAUCUUACUAUGAAGUUUGUCUUGAGCAAAAGGCCGGAGCAGUGGAAAGAUGGAUUGCUGGUAGUGAAGUUCCAUAUAUGGUAGUCAAAGACGAAUGGAUUGGCUAUGAUAAUGAGAAGAGUCUGACGUUGAAGGUAAAAUGGAUGAAAGAAAACCAUUUUGGAGGUGUUUCUGUUUGGGCUUUACCAUUGGAUGACUUCAAAAACAUGUGUGGUAAAGGAAAGUACCCUUUAAUGAAGAGUAUUGUAAGAGCAAUAACAGGGAGAUCAAGAUUAACCUCAAGUGUUAUAGUACUGAUUGCAGUGGUUUCGGUGUUGGUGUUCAUAUUAAUAUCAGCUGUGGUCAUAAAAGUGAAAUUCUACAUGGCGUAAGAUAUAUUUUGUAAUCCAGUCUGAAUAAAGCUAAGUUGAAAGAAGACCAAAUUUCAGAAACACUGGAGUAUUUGACAGAAAUGUAAGAAAAUGGUGGAGGAAUCACAAAUGAGAGCAAAGCAUUUUCAUUUUAUUACAUCUACAAAAUCAAUUUGAAAAAUUUAAACAAAAAAGAAAAA